rnacentral:rRNA from 1 species
UACGUAGGGUGCGAGCGUUGUCCGGAUUUAUUGGGCGUAAAGAGCUCGUAGGCGGUCUGUUGCGUCGGGAGUGAAAACUCAGGGCUUAACCCUGAGCCUGCUUCCGAUACGGGCAGACUAGAGGUAUGCAGGGGAGAACGGAAUUCCUGGUGUAGCGGUGAAAUGCGCAGAUAUCAGGAGGAACACCGGUGGCGAAGGCGGUUCUCUGGGCAUUACCUGACGCUGAGGAGCGAAAGUGUGGGGAGCGAACAGG